UACGUAGGGUGCAAGCGUUAAUCGGAAUGACUGGGCGUAAAGGGCGCGUAGGCGGCCUGUUAAGUCGAACGUGAAAUCCCCGGGCUCAACCCGGGAACUGCGUCCGAUACUGGCAGGCUUGAAUCCGGGAGAGGGAUGCGGAAUUCCAGGUGUAGCGGUGAAAUGCGUAGAUAUCUGGAGGAACACCGGUGGCGAAGGCGGCAUCCUGGACCGGUUCUGACGCUGAUGCGCGAAAGCGUGGGGAGCAAACAGG
rnacentral:rRNA from 1 species